CUUGGUCAUUUAGAGGAAGUAAAAGUCGUAACAAGGUUUCCGUAGGUGAGCCUGCGGAAGGAUCAUUCAUAAUAAGUGUUUUAUGGCACUUUUUUAAAUCCAUAUCCACCUUGUGUGCAAUGUCAGGGUUGGUCUCUUGAAAAAGAGAUCAGCCCCAAACAUCAACCCAAUCUUAACUCUUUGUCUGAAAAAUAUUAUGAAUAAAACAAUUCAAAAUACAACUUUCAACAACGGAUCUCUUGGCUCUCGCAUCGAUGAAGAACGCAGCGAAAUGCGAUACGUAAUGUGAAUUGCAGAAUUCAGUGAAUCAUCGAAUCUUUGAACGCAUAUUGCGCUCUUUGGUAUUCCGAAGAGCAUGCUUGUUUGAGUAUCAGUAAACACCUCAAAGCCUUUUUUUGUUAAGAGGCCUUGGACUUGAGCAAUCCCAACACUUUUCCUCCAAGAAAAGUGGCGGGUUGCUUGAAAUGCAGGUGCAGCUGGACAUUCUCCUGAGCUAAAAGCAUAUUCAUUUAGUCCCGUCAAACGGAUUAUUACUUUUGCUGCAGCUAACAUAAAGGGAGUUUGACCAUUUUGGCUGACUGAUGCAGGAUUUUCACAAGCGUCGUAAAAAAACGCUUGUUAAACUCGAUCUCAAAUCAAGUAAGACUACCCGCUGAACUUAAGCAUAUCAAUAAGCGGAGGA
rnacentral:rRNA from 1 species